GUGGGGAAUAUUGGACAAUGGGCGCAAGCCUGAUCCAGCCAUGCCGCGUGAGUGAUGAAGGCCCUAGGGUUGUAAAGCUCUUUCACCGGUGAAGAUAAUGACGGUAACCGGAGAAGAAGCCCCGGCUAACUUCGUGCCAGCAGCCGCGGUAAUACGAAGGGGGCUAGCGUUGUUCGGAAUUACUGGGCAUAAAGCGCACGUAGGCGGGUAUUUAAGUCAGGGGUGAAAUCCCGGAGCUCAACUCCGGAACUGCCUUUGAUACUGGGUACCUAGAGUAUGGAAGAGAUAAGUGGAAUUCCGAGUGUAGAGGUGAAAUUCGUAGAUAUUCGGAGGAACACCAGUGGCGAAGGCGGCUUACUGGUCCAUUACUGACGCUGAGGUGCGAAAGCGUGGGGAGCAAACAGGAUUAGAUACCCGAGUAGUCC
rnacentral:rRNA from 1 species